rnacentral:rRNA from 1 species
UACGUAGGGUGCAAGCGUUAAUCGGAAUUACUGGGCGUAAAGGGUGCGCAGGCGGUUCUGUAAGUCAGAUGUGAAAUCCCCGGGCUUAACCUGGGAACUGCGUUUGAAACUACAGGGCUAGAGUGUGGCAGAGGGGGGUGGAAUUCCAUGUGUAGCAGUGAAAUGCGUAGAGAUAUGGAAGAACAUCGAUGGCGAAGGCAGCCCCCUGGGUUAACACUGACGCUCAGGCACGAAAGCGUGGGGAGCAAACAGGAUUAGAAACCCCCGUAGUCC